AUGCAAACUCGAUCCCUAAGUCUGCAUGAUGCUGCAGAAGGGAAGGGAACCAGGUCUGCUAAAGUCAUGGUAGUGACAGAAAUGUUUUGGCCUCAGAAGCUCCUGGGGUGGUCCAUUCCAUUCUAGUACAGUG